rnacentral:tRNA from 1 species
GCUGAUACGGCCUGUGGAAAACCUACCUUUGUCACUGACUUGUAAUCAGUAGGUCCCGGGUUCGACUCCUGGUGCCGGCA